rnacentral:tRNA from 1 species
AAAAAACUAGUUAAAAAUAAUAACAAAAGAAUGUCAUUCUUUAAUUACUAAUAGGUGUUUUU